CCCUUAGAUGUUCUGGGCUGCACGCGCGCUACGCUGACGUACGCAACGAGUGUCCUUUACCGAGAGGUAUGGGUAAUCAUUUGAGUGUACGUCGUGAUGGGGAUAGAAUAUUGUAAUUAUUACUCUUCAACGAGGAAUUCCUAGUAAGCGCAAGUCAGCAGCUUGCGCUGAUUACGUCCCUGCCCUUUGUACACACCGCCCGUCGCUACUACCGAUUGAACGGUUUAGUGAGGGCCUCGGAUUGGUCUCGGCCCGCUCUUUACCGGGCGGCGCCGUUGGUCGAGAAGACGCUCGAACUUGAUCGUUUAGAGGAAGUAAAAGUCGUAACA
rnacentral:rRNA from 1 species